rnacentral:rRNA from 1 species
ACGCUGGCGGCACGCCUAACACAUGCAAGUCGAACGAAGUAGCAAUACUUAGUGGCAGACGGGUGAGUAACAUGUAGGUAUCUGCCCUUUGGCCUGGAAUAACACGAGGAAACUUGUGCUAAUACCGGAUAAGUCUUUACGGAGAAAGCUUUAUGCACCAUUGGAUGAGCCUGCACUUGAUUAGUUUGUUGGUAGGGUAAUGGCCUACCAAGACUGUGAUCAAUAGCUGAUUUGAGAGGAUGAUCAGCCACAUUGGGACUGAGACACGGCCCAAACUCCUACGGGAGGCAGCAGUGGGGAAUCUUGCACAAUGGAGGAAACUCUGAUGCAGCGAUGCCGCGUGAGUGAAGAAGGCCCUUGGGUUGUAAAGCUCUUUCGUCGGGGAAGAAAAUGACUGUACCCGAAUAAGAAGGUCCGGCUAACUUCGUGCCAGCAGCCGCGGUAAUACGAAGGGACCUAGCGUAGUUCGGAAUUACUGGGCUUAAAGAGUUCGUAGGUGGUUGAAAAAGUUGGUGGUGAAAUCCCAGAGCUUAACUCUGGAACUGCCAUCAAAACUUUUCAGCUAGAGUAUGAUAGAGGAAAGCAGAAUUUCUAGUGUAGAGGUGAAAUUCGUAGAUAUUAGAAAGAAUACCAAUUGCGAAGGCAGCUUUCUGGAUCAUUACUGACGCUGAGGAACGAAAGCAUGGGUAGCGAAGAGGAUUAGAUACCCUCGUAGUCCAUGCCGUAAACGAUGUGUGUUAGACGUUGGAAAUUUAUUUUCAGUGUCGCAGCGAAAGCGAUAAACACACCGCCUGGGGAGUACGACC